rnacentral:rRNA from 1 species
GGAAUAUUGGUCAAUGGGCGAGAGCCUGAACCAGCCAAGUAGCGUGCAGGAUGACGGCCCUAUGGGUUGUAAACUGCUUUUGCAUGGGAAUAAAGUCGGGGACGUGUCCCCGUUUGUAGGUACUAUAUGAAUAAGGACCGGCUAAUUCCGUGCCAGCAGCCGCGGUAAUACGGAAGGUCCGGGCGUUAUCCGGAUUUAUUGGGUUUAAAGGGAGCGCAGGCUGAUGAUUAAGCGUGACGUGAAAUGUAGCCGCUCAACGGCUGAACUGCGUCGCGAACUGGUUAUCUUGAGUGAGUUCGAUGUUGGCGGAAUUCGUGGUGUAGCGGUGAAAUGCUUAGAUAUCACGAAGAACUCCGAUUGCGAAGGCAGCCAACAAGGCCUUUACUGACGCUAAAGCUCGAAGGUGCGGGUAUCGAACA